UACGAAGGGGGCUAGCGUUGCUCGGAAUCACUGGGCGUAAAGCGCACGUAGGCGGCUUUUUAAGUCAGAGGUGAAAUCCUGGAGCUCAACUCCAGAACUGCCUUUGAUACUGGAGAGCUGAGUCCGGGAGAGGUGAGUGGAACUGCGAGUGUAGAGGUGAAAUUCGUAGAUAUUCGCAAGAACACCAGUGGCGAAGGCGGACUCACUGGCCCGGUACUGGACGCUGAGGUGCGAAAGCGUGGGGAGCAAAGCAGGGAGUUAAGAUAUCCCCGGUAGUCCCGAGAAGCCAACGAUCGUCUUCGUCGUAACC
rnacentral:rRNA from 1 species